AGAAUUGAAGCAGUUUAUUCCUGCUGGCAUGUUCAAAGGACAGUGCAACAGAAAUUCAGUACCUGGCAUCACUGGUUUUCCUUUCUUUGUACAUGUUAAACCUGGUACUUCUACUGAUACCGUA
rnacentral:snoRNA from 1 species